rnacentral:rRNA from 1 species
UACGAAGGGGGCUAGCGUUGCUCGGAAUUACUGGGCGUAAAGGGCGCGUAGGCGGCUGUUUAAGUCGGGGGUGAAAGCCCGGGGCUCAACCUCGGAAUUGCCUUCGAUACUGGACAUCUUGAGUACGGGAGAGGUGAGUGGAACUCCGAGUGUAGAGGUGAAAUUCGUAGAUAUUGGGUGGAACACCGGUGGCGAAAGCGGCUCUCUGGUCCGGACCUGACGCUGAGGCGCGAAAGCGUGGGGAGCAAACAGG